rnacentral:lncRNA from 1 species
GAGGAUGAUAAUUCAGAUAGCUAAUAUUAAUAUCUCCACAUAAUUGUUUUUCAUUCUAAAACUAUACUAAUAUUAAUAUUUAGUUUCAAAAAAAAAAAAACUAUAUUAAUAUUUGAAAUAUCUUUUUUUAGAAAAGUCGUGUUGGAUAUUUCUGGUAUGAAAUAAGAUCAGGAUAAUUCAAAUAAUAAAAUCACUACAGUAAUUGUCAUUUCCAGAUGGUUUAAGUAAUUUAAAAUCUUUUUAUAAAGUUUGCAUUAGUUGAUAUAAUUUGGUCGGCUCUACUUUCAAGACUUUUGACGUUGACUCUUGAGACAGAGAAGACGUACUUUGAUUGGUCUUCGAGUUUGUUGAUUAUGCUAAGUUUAUUUUUCUGGAACGCCUUAGCGUAUCUUGAUUCUUGAUAAUUACUUUUACAGUUGACGGAAAACGUGUUGCGCUCCUAGUUACUGCUAGUUACUGGUUUUCCAUAUUGAAAAUGAUAUUAAAAUGUUACGUUACAUAACGUCAAGUAUCUCUAUGUUUGAACUCAUUGGAAAGGUUUCUUGGAGUCUCUAUGGAGAGACGUGGACAUGAACAGGCAUCAAGUGGAUCCAUUGAGUGAGCUAAACCUAGUGAUUGUGUCCCAUGGGCUGACCUCUCGUGUGUUUCUAAUGAAAUGGUUCAAGUGGACGGUGGAAGAGUUCGAGCGGCUGAACAAUUUAGGGAACUGCGAGUUCAGAGUGAUGGAGUUAGGUGCAGGAGGAGAGUACACCUUUGGGAUACACCACACUGAAGAAGAGAUGUUGGCUUGGGGCAUGUCUAAAGAUAUGAUUGAUGAUCAAAUGGUUCGUGUUAAUGGUUCCCGUGAAACAUUGAACGAUUGUUGUACAUUGCAACUCGAUGAGUAUUUCGAUUUGUUAGAUGUCACUGACGACGAAGAAUGAUGCUGAUUAUUUGUAUGUACAUUGCUAUUGUACGUGUUUGCUUUUGGAAAAAGAAACUAGUAAUUAUCUCAUUUGUUGUUUGGUUUCAUCACUUGUAAAUCAAGUUUAGUAGUAUUGAAAUUACAUUUUCGUAUAAUAAAAAAAUGAAGUGAUAUUUUCUAAAGAAAACACAUGUAAUAGUUCCUCAAAACCAAUUGGUGAACCGAUUAUAGUUACUGCAAAGUAAACAAGAUAUGUUUUAUGUAGGUUGAUUAUUGUCAAAGCCAUAUUUUAAGGAAAUACGCAAAAGGGCAUUUGGUCUAGUGGUAUGAUUCUCGCUUAGGGUGCGAGAGGUCCCGAGUUCAGUUCUCGGAAUGCCCCAGUUUAAAAAUAUUUUAGUUCAAUUUUAGAUUCCAACUUGCAGAAGUAUUUGGACCACUGCUGAGUUUUUUUGAACUUUUUGAAUUUCUUUAUCACAAAGAAGUAACUACUAAUUUUGAGUGGAAGAAAUAAUAGUUAAUUUAUAAUUUUAUAUCCGUAAAAGAAAGUAAAAACGAAACAUCAUCUGACAGGAGCACAAGAAUCUUGACAAAAGCCCAGCGCUUGACACGACACCCACCUUUUAAAGCUUUCCACACUUAUUACACCCGUUUCUGUUGUUGUUGUCUUCUAUUUCCUUCAUUGUUAAAGUCGAAAAAGGAGUACCAGAUCUUAAAACUCAAAGAGUAUCCAACUAGUGUCUUCCCCACAAUCCAACUCUUCCUCUUCCUCAGAUUCUCCUUGCAAAUCCAACUCAUACAUAGGUCACUCUCCUUUCCAGAUAUUUUCUGUUUACUUUGCCUUUGUUAGUUUUUUUUUCUUUUGUUCUGACCUGUUCUUGCAUAUGUUUUCUGAAAUUCAUGCACUUGAUAAAAAUAAUAGACAUGGUGUGUUGUUUGAAACGCUUCUACUUGGUUAAUAUCUUUUGCUCUGUUUUGACUAUUUUGAAGGAACUAAAUUUAUGGGUUCUUUUUUUCUAAUAAUUAGAUUUAUGCACUUUCUUUUUUAACUAUAUAAAUCUCACUGCUUAUACUUAUUGCUUUAGUUGAUCUUCUAAGUAAAUUUAGAAAUAUUGAUUAAACCAUAUAUAUAAUCCAAAUUUGUUCCAGCUAUUCUUGUUAAUUGUUUGCAACCUUAUCUCUUUAGAUGUUUGAUGAAAAGCUUUUCUAUUUCUAGUAGAGAAUGGAUCAACAAGAGCAUGGACAGUCGGGAGCCAUGAACUACGCCACAAACCCAUACCAAACCAAUCCCAUGACCACCACCGUAGCCGGAAACGCGGGGCCAGCAGCACCACAAGGCCAGCUGGCGUUCCACCAGAUCCACCAACAGCAGCAGCAGCAACAGCUGACUCAGCAGCUUCAAGUCUUUUGGGAGAACCAAUUCAAAGAGAUUGAGAAAACAACCGAUUUCAAGAACCACAGCCUUCCCCUAGCGAGGAUCAAGAAGAUCAUGAAAGCCGACGAGGACGUCCGCAUGAUCUCCGCCGAGGCUCCCGUUGUGUUUGCAAGGGCCUGCGAGAUGUUCAUCUUGGAGCUGACGCUAAGGUCGUGGAACCACACGGAGGAGAACAAGAGGAGGACGCUUCAGAAGAAUGAUAUAGCAGCUGCUGUGACUAGAACCGAUAUUUUUGAUUUUCUUGUGGAUAUUGUUCCUAGGGAGGAUCUCAGGGAUGAGGUUUUGGGAAGAGGGACUGUCCCUGAGGCUGCUGCUGCUGCUGGUUACCCUUAUGGAUACUUGCCUCCGGGGACUGGGCCAAUAGGGAACCCGGGAAUGGUUAUGGGUAACCCUGGUGGUGCAUACCCACCUAACCCGUAUAUGGGUCAGCCCAUGUGGCCGCAGCAACAGGGACCUGACCAACCUGACCCGGAAAAUUAGCUUUGGCAUAGAAACUGUGAGUUUUUCCCUAGCUUCUUUUACGCAUAAUCAAUAUCUAGUGUGUGGGUGUUUGUGUUGGUGGUAUAGAUGAGGACUUGUUUUGACUUCCAUGCUUUCAAAGACAAAGCUAUACAGUCUGAUAGUUAUAUAUUAUUAUGUUUGUUGUUUCUUUGUUGCAGAGUUCAUGUCAAGCCAAGUUGAAUGAAGAAAGGAGUUUAGAGAAGAACAUAUCAUAAUUUCAAAUUGUAGAAGAAACUCUAAGUGUUUGUUUAUUAUGUUCAUUCCAUCCUUUCUUGUAAGGAGACAUUUAGGGAUGAAUUACCUGAAGAAUGUAUAAACUGUAACUUUGUAAGGAUGAAAGAAGUGUGGGUUGACAAGUUCUUUUUUAUUUAUUUGAAUGUUAUCUUAUCAUUCUCAAGAAAAAGAAAAAUUCUCAAAAAAUGUUAUUCUCUUCAUUUUUAAAUAAGUGUCACUUUUACACUUUUCACAAAGACUAAAAAAGGACGAAAAUAUAUGUAGAUUGUUAUUAAUUACAUUUUUCUGACCAAUAGUAUUUGAGAUAAAUAAAAUUAUUUAUAAAACCAAUGCAGUUUGCAAAUAAUUUUCAGCUGAAAUUUUUGUUUUGAAAUUGUAAAGUGAUACUUUUUGUGUAACAAUAAAAAAAAACUAAAAUAACACUUAUUAUGAAACAGAGAGAAUAUUAUCUUAUUUUUUUAGUGUUUUUUCUCUUCACAUAUGACAUUCAAAUAAAUAUAAGAUUUCAUCCGAAAUUGAAUAUUAAAAAAAUUGAAAAAGAAAUAUAAAUGUUUUUUUUUUCUUGAUGUGUUUUAAAAAAUUUAAAAUAAAAAAUUGUUUUUUUCUUUCUUAUUUUAAAAUCAAUUUGUUUUUUUUUUUUUAAUUUCAAAAAGUAUGAUACCGAAGCCCUUUUCCCUCUCACUCGUUAAUACUUUUAGCCGAACGAAGAAACAUUAGUCACAGUGUGAAAACCCCCAAAAUCGAUCAGAUGCAAGAUUUCUUCGGCUCCGUUCGCCGAUCUCUCGUCUUCCGUCCUCCCGGCGAUGAAGACAACCAGGAGAAUCAGCCUCCGUUCCCCGGCGCUCUCGCCGAUAAGAUCACCUCCUGCAUCCGCAAAUCCAGGGCUCUCAUCAAACCCUCCUCUUCCCCGCCGCCUCACCCUCCUUCCGCCGCAGAUACGCCGCCUCCGAUUUCGUGGAGGAAAGGUCAGUUAAUCGGCCGCGGCGCGUUCGGUACGGUGUACAUGGGGAUGAAUCUCGAUUCCGGGGAGCUUCUCGCCGUCAAACAGGUACUCCCACCUAGGGUUUCGAAGCUAAUUGGAUCUUAAUUAAAUAAAGGAAGUUCCUUUUGCUGCUAAUUUUAGUUGUUUGUUGUUACUUACCAAUCUCGGAUCUGUUACUAAACGAUUCUGAAAGUCGAAAGCUUUGAUUUUUACCUUUGUUCAUGGAUGUGAUCUGAUUGUUUGUUACGCAGGUUCUGAUUGCUUCCAAUUAUGCUUCCAAGGAAAAAACUCAGGUUCUUAAACAACCCUAAACCCCCUUUUUAUGUUCUCCUUUCCAAUCGAGUUUAUACUUGACUUUGGUUUUUUCUAUCUUGAAGGCUCAUAUUCAGGAGCUUGAAGAAGAAGUUAAGCUUCUCAAAAAUCUCUCCCAUCCAAAUAUAGUUGUUAGUAACUAUAUAUCCUCUUUCCUCUCAGUGCAGAUGGAUUCAAUACUUCUUUUUGUGUUAUCUAAAUCAGUUAUUUGUUCUUGGCCUUUAGAGAUAUUUGGGCACUGUGAGAGAAGAUGACACUCUGAAUAUUCUUCUCGAGUUUGUUUCCGGUGGAUCUAUAUCUUCGCUCUUGGAGAAAUUCGGACCUUUUCCUGAAUCAGUGAGUCAUACUUGAAUUUUUUUUUUUUUUUUUUGUUUUCCCAUGUAUUACUAGACUGUUCGGCCUACUUGAGUGUUUAGAGUGGUUUAAUCAGGUUGUACGGACAUACACAAAACAGCUGCUUGUUGGGUUGGAGUACCUUCACAAUCAUGCAAUUAUGCACAGAGACAUUAAGGUAACAGUUCUCCUCAUACUUUGAAAGUUCUUGAAUACUUGAGUUAUUGUCCAUUAUAUUCUCUGUUCCUCUGUUCUCAGGGCGCUAAUAUCCUUGUGGAUAACAAAGGAGGCAUUAAACUUGCUGAUUUUGGUGCAUCCAAACAAGUAGCUGAGUUGGUAUGUCAAAUCAUUUUUUUUCUUCUUCACCUUAUAUUUCUUAGUUGGCCUUGUAUAAAAUAUUCUUUAUAGUGACAUGUUUUCAUCUGUAGGCUACAAUCUCUGGUGCAAAAUCUAUGAAAGGGACACCCUAUUGGAUGGCUCCGGAAGUUAUUCUUCAAACUGGACAUAGCUUGUAAGUUCUUAAGCGUGCUCGUACGAAAUAAAAUGCUUUUUACCUGAUAUCACAUACGCCUGUGGCUAUUAUUUAAGUACUGGUGACAUAAUUUUGAUUUCUCACAAUACUUUGGAUAUUGUUUUCAGCUCUGCUGAUAUAUGGAGCGUGGGCUGUACAGUUAUUGAAAUGGUUACUGGAAAGGCUCCUUGGAGUCAACAGUACAAAGAGGUAAUCUAUUUCCUUUCACUGGUUGUAAAGAUUUUUGCUUCUUUGAUUACAUGUGAACAUACCUUGGUUUCAGGUUGCUGCUAUCUUCUUCAUCGGAACAACAAAAUCACAUCCUCCAAUACCUGAUACUCUCUCCUCUGAUGCAAAAGACUUUCUGCUUAAGUGUCUACAGGAGUAAGCUACUUUGCUUCGGAAUCAAUAAAUUAGGAUUGUAAAGUAGAUCUCGUCACUAUUAAUGCGUCUUGUCUUUGGGAUUGCUGAACCAUUGAUUUGUCUGGGCAGGGAGCCAAAAAUGCGGCCAACGGCAUCUGAGCUACUAAAGGUGAAUUAUAAACAGUUUAAUUAUGCACCACCGAAAUGAAUUUUGUUUUUUGUUUUAGUAGACGUGUUCUUGAUUUUGUUCUGUUUGCAGCAUCCCUUUGUUACGGGAAAACACAAGCAAUCUGCUUCAACUGAUCUUGAUUCUGUCAUGGUGGGUGCAUGUCGACCAUCUUAUGAAUAUCAUAUAAGUUGUUCUUGAAGCCAUCUUUAUAUGACCAUUUUUGUUAUUUUCCAGAACAAUGGUAGUACUCCUACACUAUCACAGUUAACUAACACUAAGUGCUCGUAAGUUCUGGAAACCUGGCUGAAACCAAAAGUAUUAAAACGAAUGUUUUGGGUGUUACGAAAGAUUCUGACUAUUUAUUGUCUUCUUCCUUUGUUUCAGUCCCAAUUCUACAUGCAACGAUGUAGGAGACAUGUGUAACUUGGGCAGUCUGAACUAUUCACUUGCAUCUCCUUUGAAAUCAAUCCAAAACAACAAUUUCUGGCAACAAAAUGAUAAUGGAGGCGAAGAAGACGAUAUGUGUUUGAUUGAUGAUGACAAUUUUUUGACAUUUAAUGGAGAGACAGGACCUAUCCUUGAAAAUAAUAGUGAUCUGAAGAAGGUAACCAUUUCAUAUUUCCAUCUAGAGUUCCAAUGACCGGUUCAAGUCUCAACUAUUGUUUGAAUUGAGUUUCAUUUUGUUCUGUAAGCAUCAUUUAUUAUUAAAUCUUACUUCGACAGAGCUGUGAUGCCACAAGUGAUAUGUCCAAUGCUUUGAACCCCAAUUUUGACGAAAGUCCACGUAAUGGAGAGAAAGAGACGAAAAUGAGCAUGGAAGUUGACCAACCUUCAUACUCAGAAGAUGACGAGGAGCUGACGGAAUCAAGAAUUAAAGCUUUCUUAGAUGAAAAGGUGCAUCACGCUCGUAUUCUUUACUUUUAUAGGCAUCAAUACGUAAAUCACAUUCUGUUAGUCACUAACGUGGGAGUGAAUCUAAUAAUUUCAGGCUGCAGACCUAAAGAAGUUACAGACGCCUCUAUAUGAAGAAUACUACAACAAUUUGAUCACAUGCUCUCCCAAUGGCAUGGAGAGUAACGUAAGUAGCAGUAAAAGAGAGGACACUGCUCGUGGUUUCCUGAAACUGCCUCCAAAAAGCAGGUCACCGAGUCGGGGUCCUCUUGGUGGUUCACCCUCGAGAGCAACAGACACAGUUACUUGUACUAAGAGCCCAGGAAGUGGAAGUAGUCGUGAAGUGAAUAUGAACGAUGGAGGUGAUGAAGCUUCGCAGGAUGGUGUACCAGCCCGAGUCAGUGACUGGAGGGGUCUUAUUGUUGACACUGAACAGGAAUCAAAGAGCCAGAGGUUAGUUUCCUUUGAUCCUCUUAGGCACUCAGUAGGAACAAUGAAGCGAGAACUAUGUCCCAUUCAUGCAUGUCAUAAACUAUAACUGCCCUCUAUGUCGCAGAAUUGUUGCAUUUUGGGUUUUUUUCAAAGUGCUGACUUAACAACCAUAGAUGAGAAUAGUAAUCACGAAUGCGUCCAAACAUUUGAAGUUUAAGAAUUCUAAAACAUCUGCCGCGCUUUCUUCAACUUGUCUAGCAAUUUUUACCUUAACCUAGGGUAGGCGAGUCAGCCGGCAACAUCGACCAAGGGGCUUACGCAACCACACCCGACCACAAGAUCCCUCUGACGGAAGAAGGACGAGCGCAGGCACGUGAGGCCGGUAGGAAGAUGAGAGCCCUGAUCUCAGCUCAAAGCGGCGGCACGUGCGGAGAGAAUUGGCGCGUAUACUUUUACGUGUCCCCGUACGAGAGGACGAGGACAACACUGAGGGAAGUAGGGAAAGCGUUCUCGAGGCGGCGCGUGAUAGGAGUGAGGGAAGAGUGUAGGAUCAGAGAACAAGAUUUUGGAAAUUUUCAAGUGGAAGAUAGGAUGAGAGUUGUGAAGGAGACGAGGGAACGUUUUGGAAGAUUCUUUUACCGUUUCCCGGAGGGUGAAUCUGCUUCCGACGUCUAUGAUCGUGUUUCAAGUAAGUUCUGCCUCUCUAGAGGAUGAUAAUUCAGAUAGCUAAUAUUAAUAUCUCCACAUAAUUGUUUUUCAUUCUAAAACUAUACUAAUAUUAAUAUUUAGUUUCAAAAAAAAAAAAACUAUAUUAAUAUUUGAAAUAUCUUUUUUUAGAAAAGUCGUGUUGGAUAUUUCUGGUAUGAAAUAAGAUCAGGAUAAUUCAAAUAAUAAAAUCACUACAGUAAUUGUCAUUUCCAGAUGGUUUAAGUAAUUUAAAAUCUUUUUAUAAAGUUUGCAUUAGUUGAUAUAAUUUGGUCGGCUCUACUUUCAAGACUUUUGACGUUGACUCUUGAGACAGAGAAGACGUACUUUGAUUGGUCUUCGAGUUUGUUGAUUAUGCUAAGUUUAUUUUUCUGGAACGCCUUAGCGUAUCUUGAUUCUUGAUAAUUACUUUUACAGUUGACGGAAAACGUGUUGCGCUCCUAGUUACUGCUAGUUACUGGUUUUCCAUAUUGAAAAUGAUAUUAAAAUGUUACGUUACAUAACGUCAAGUAUCUCUAUGUUUGAACUCAUUGGAAAGGUUUCUUGGAGUCUCUAUGGAGAGACGUGGACAUGAACAGGCAUCAAGUGGAUCCAUUGAGUGAGCUAAACCUAGUGAUUGUGUCCCAUGGGCUGACCUCUCGUGUGUUUCUAAUGAAAUGGUUCAAGUGGACGGUGGAAGAGUUCGAGCGGCUGAACAAUUUAGGGAACUGCGAGUUCAGAGUGAUGGAGUUAGGUGCAGGAGGAGAGUACACCUUUGGGAUACACCACACUGAAGAAGAGAUGUUGGCUUGGGGCAUGUCUAAAGAUAUGAUUGAUGAUCAAAUGGUUCGUGUUAAUGGUUCCCGUGAAACAUUGAACGAUUGUUGUACAUUGCAACUCGAUGAGUAUUUCGAUUUGUUA